rnacentral:pre_miRNA from 1 species
UAUAUAUAUAUGUAUGUGUGUGUGUGUGUGUGUAUCCACGUACGUAUACAUGUAUGUUUAUGCGUGUAUGCAUUACACACACACACAUAUAUAUAUAUA